rnacentral:tRNA from 1 species
AGCGCUAUACCAAAAUGGUCCAAGAUGGGUCUGCAAAACCUUGAGUGCGGGUUCGAAUCCCGUUAGCGCUC